rnacentral:rRNA from 1 species
GAUGAACGCUGGCGGCGUGCCUAAUACAUGCAAGUCGAGCGAACGGACGAGAAGCUUUCUCCUCUGAUGUUAGCGGCGGACGGGUGAGUAACACGUGGAUAACCUACCUAUAAGACUGGGAUAACUUCGGGAAACCGGAGCUAAUACCGGAUAAUAUAUUGAACCGCAUGGUUCAAGAGUGAAAGACGGUCUUUCGGUCACUUAUAGAUGGAUCCGCCCUGCAUUAGCUAGUUGGUAAGGUAACGGCUUACCAAGGCAACGAUGCAUAGCCGCCCUGAAAGGGUGAUCGGCCACACGGGAACUGAGACACGGUCCAGACUCCUACGGGAGGCAGCAGUAGGGAAUCUUACGCAAUGGGCGAAAGCCUGACGGAGCAACGCCGCGUGAGUGAUGAAGGUCUUCUGAUCGUAAAACUCUGUUAUUAGGGAAGAACAAAUGUGUAAGUAACUGUGCACAUCUUGACGGUACCUAAUCAGAAAGCCACGGCUAACUACGUG